AUCAGUUGCCAUCACAUAAUGGUGGGCACUCUGGUGAGACUGCCCGGGUUAACCGGGAGGAAGGUGGGGACGACGUCAAGUCAUCAUGGCCCUUACGUCCAGGGCUACACACGUACUACAAUGGCGGAUACAAAGGGUAGCGAAACCGCGAGGUGAAGCCAAUCCCAAAAAGUCCGUCCCAGUCCGGAUCGCAGUCUGCAACUCGACUGUGUGAAGUUGGAAUCGCUAGUAAUCCCGGAUCAGCAUGCCGGGGUGAAUACGUUCCCGGGCCUUGUACACACCGCCCGUCACACCACGAAAGCUGGUUCUACCCGAAAUCGACGGACUAACCUUCGGGAGGUAGUCGCCUACGGUAGGGCU
rnacentral:rRNA from 1 species